CGUGGAGUGAACAUCGCCAUGUUUGUUCGACUGACCACAUCUGCUCGAUACGGUAUUUGUAUCGUCCUCGUUAAUUACAAGUAAUUAGUAUAUUUUUUUUCUAACCUACAAUUCUUCCUUAUACAUCGAUCGAUUCCUUGAAACGUGUAUUUCUAACGUGCAUUGUUCGCAAGUCGUGAUAAAGACGCAUUUAGAAGAUAUUCACGAAAAUGAAAUCAGCGUCUUCGAAUUGUCCAGUAGCCGGUGUAAUGGGAGAAAGGAGGGAAGGGAGCUAUUGGGUACCGGAAGUGACGUAUCGGUGAACGAACUACGUAGUCCACUUUCGUAUUUUGACCUGCUCGCCAUUUUGGACACGCUGACAAGACAACAAUGACGGUGCUUCGUCGUUCCGCAUAAUUACAGAUUUCCAAGAAUUGUACGCGAGACAGAACAGAAAUACUAAUUUCUUAUAUAUACAUACUUCUCCUUAGUCAUACGUACAGCUUUCAGAAGUUAAAAGAAGAAAAUCGAAUUCGUUUUAUUAAACGAGAAAUCAAGAAAUACAGACAGAGACAGAGACGGAGAGAGAAAUAGAGAAAUAGAGAACAUGUUAACAAAGCUCGUUAACGAGAUAACGGCCUAAACUAGUGACAGAUGCAUGUACACGCAUACGCACUUAGAAAUGAACCGUAUUAAGGAUAUAACAUGAACGGAAGUUCAAAGAAUCUCAGCGAAUGUCUUCGGGUCAUGACCCACGUGCGUAAUGAUCCAAACGGUAUUCUCUAUUUCUCUCUCUCUCUCUCUCUCUCUCUUUCUUUCUUUCUCUCUCUUACAAUUAGAAUGCACAGCAGAGAGAAGAUUACGACCUCCUUUGAGCAAAGUUCAUUUCGUCGGAGGAACCUUAAGAGGAACACAAGGAAUCAGAUAGAAAGAGGAAGAUGGGGAAACGACACAGCAAAUUUCCCAGGAUAAAAAAAAAAAACAAAUAUCUUUCUCUUUCUUUCUCUCUCUCUCUUCCUUCUUUCCUUCCGUCUUUCUUUCUUUCUUUCUUUCUUUAUCCUUUUUUUUUCUUCUUUUUUUUUUCCUCUUUCUUCUUUCCUCUUUUUCUUUCUCUUUUACCUUUCUUCCCUUGCAAACUUCGUUUUGUCCCUUACUAAAAAUACGUGUCACGAUUCAGAAGCAUGGCAUUCGGUAUGCAUGUUGUAAGUAAGAGAAUUUCUUUCUCGUGUUAGAAGGACGUUUCCAAGAAGUCUUAGCAAUAUCUUUGCAAAUAGAAACAAUCGGUAAGAAUAACUCUAA